GAAGCGACCUCAGCUCAGGCGGGGCU
rnacentral:rRNA from 4 species